rnacentral:rRNA from 1 species
GACGAACGCUGGCGGCGUGCUUAACACAUGCAAGUCGAACGGUGAAGGGACCAGCUUGCUGGUUCUGGAUGAGUGGCGAACGGGUGAGUAACACGUGAGUAACCUGCCCCCUUCUUCUGGAUAACCGCAUGAAAGUGUGGCUAAUACGGGAUAUUCUGGGUCUGUCGCAUGGCGGGCCCGGGAAAGAUAUUGCUUCGGUGGGGGAUGGGCUCGCGGCCUAUCAGCUUGUUGGUGGGGUGAUGGCCUACCAAGGCGGCGACGGGUAGCCGGCCGGGGAGGGGGGCCGGUCACACUGGGACUGAGACACGGCCCAGACUCCUACGGGAGGCAGCAGUGGGGUAUAUUGCACAAUGGGCGCAAGCCUGAUGCAGCGACGCCGCGUGAGGGAUGGAGGCCUUCGGGUUGUAAACCUCUUUCGCCAGUGAAGCAGGCCUGCUCCUUGUGGGUGGGUUGACGGUAGCUGGAUAAGAAGCGCCGGCUAACUACGUG